GUCAUGAAGAUGGCGCAAUCGACUAGCGCGUUCGGCUGUUAACCUUAAGGUUGGUGGAUCGAGUCCACCCGCGGACG